rnacentral:lncRNA from 1 species
CAAGAGAGGUAAGUUCACCUGUGUAUUGGAACUUAAUCAGAUUUCUCCCACAUCCCUACCCUCCAGGUCCUAGAAUCAUAGAAGGGUAGAGUUGGGACCCCAGUGGGUCAUCUAGUCCAACCCGCUGCAAUGCUGGCAUCACAGUUAAAGAAUCCCUGACAGUUUGCCAUCCAACCUCUGCUUAAAAACCUCCAAUGAAGGAGAGUCUGCCAUCCUGCUGGACCAUAACUUCUUUCAUCCCUUGCCCUUGGUGAUCUCAGCAGGUUCCCCAGCCCUGCAUUAAGGAAAGGAAAUAGUUUUAUUUUUAUCAUAUGGCUUGUAGUGAGGUUAAAGCUUACUGGGAAAUGAUAUAUAAUGAAUUGAAAAGGGUGUUUAAAAUAACAUUUGUAAAAGAAUAAUAAUACAAGAAGCUUUUCUUUUGGGAAUUAUAGGGACAGAACUACCUAAAUUCUAUAGAAAUAUAUUUAUGUAUGCAACUACAGUGGCAAGAAUACUACUCGCCCCAGAAUGGAAAGAAGCAGAAGUCCCAGCAAAGGAAGAAUGGAUACAAAAACUUAUGGAAUAUGCAGAAAUGGCGAAACUUACCGGAAGAAUAAGAAAUCAAGAUAACAAACUCUUUUUUUUAAAUAAAGGAAUGGAAAUGGUUUAUUGAAUAUUUACUGAUAAAUUGUAAACAGAUAAGAACAUUGGCAGGAUUAUUGUAAUAACCUGCAGUUUCAUAAGAGUAUAUAUUUAAAGUCGAAGAAUAAAUGAGAAAAUUAAGUUAAUUUGGAUAUGCAGAAGGUAUUAAAAAUAAAUUCAAGGAGCCGCAGAAAGAGGGGGGAAGGAAGUCAAGUUUUGAAAUGUUAAAAUGAUUGUAAAAUUAGUGAAAUGUAUAAAUCUGAAAAGCAUAAAUAUUUAUUUUUAUUUUUUAAAGGAGAGGAAAUAGUUCGGGCUGAAAUCAGCAAGAAGGAAAAAAAAGUCAUCUGUUUACUGUUGCUCACGCGCUGCUCCAUCUUUGACCUCUUGCCUGUGUUUUUUAUGGGGCAUGUAGGUAAAUCGCUGUACUAAUAUGAUGUGUGUUUCAAACAGUAUUGACUCACUUCACAGCACAUAUGACAGGCUGCCAACUUUGCAAUCCACCCUUUGCAGCUGGAUGCUGAACAGUUCCUUGAUGUGCAGGCGCGUAAACAGGUGAUCAUGUUUCUCUCCAUGCUGAGCAAAGCGCUUCAAGAUGCUCAGAUCCGUUAAGUCAGACUCUGGGUCUUUCUUUUUUGGCAGCAGCGGGUGGGCGGAGUGCCAGUUUUGUCAAACCCACUGGUUUCCAUCCGCUCAGCCUACCCACUGGAAUUUGCAAGGAUGUUUCAUGGGAAUGAGAUGCAUUCCAUCGCUACAGAACAUCCCUGUGGCAAUGAUUUUGCUAUAACCUCAGGACGCAAGUCACGGGACUUAUAGCUCACUUAUAGGAGCACCGACAGGUUAAUUUCAUGCCUGAGGCAGUAGAAUAAAAAUAAAAAUAAUGAGGCAGUGAGUUCCAAGGGUGAAGGAUAAGCCAGAUUCUGUGCACAGAUUUGUAGGCACAGAUCAUCCUCUAGAAUAAAAUAGCUGACUAGGGAAAUGCUGAAGUUGCCCUUUGGGGCGCCUCAGGGUCAAUUUUUUAUGGUAGCCCAAAUCUCAGUUGUACGGGUGUAUGUAUAUAUCUCAAUUUUAACUCAUGAGCUAUUGCUUCAAUCUGCUCUGAUUGUAUAUUUUAUCUUUAUGAACACUGUUUUUAUUGUGUUAUGUUAUGUGAGCUGGUCUUUGACCGUAAUAAAUUAUCUAAGACUGUAGAUUAUGCGUAUAGAAGAAGCCAUAUCUAUUCCUUACUUUCCUCAUUUCAUAAGAAAUUUACAUGUCCAAACAGGUUGCGAUAGAGACAAGUGGGUGGGCCUUUUCCCAUCUUACCUGGCUGGAUGUCAUGGCAAGGAGGGCUGUGUGUGUGGGAAUUGUGUGCUAUAAUUUUUUCUUAGUGGUGCUGGAAGCUGGAGACACAGAGACAUGUCUGCUCUGUGCUGGAUUUUGGGCUCCUCUGGAAACCUAACAGAGGAACAAGGAUCUGCUGGGGUGCUAAUGCUGCGAGCCCUCCCAUGCUAUGUUCAGGUUGCAGAUAUGUGUAAAUAAGCGACAUAUCCUAAAGAUACCACAGACUCCAUUGUCCUUCAUUCCAAGGAAACAGAACCCCAGAUAAGUGCGGACAUUCCUGGAGUCUCUCAUCACUCGUAGAUUGGGGUUGAGAGUAACAAUGUAUCUCCUCUUAAAAAAUGUAUGUAUUGUAAUUGAUUGCAUGUAAUUGACUAAACACUUUCUAACUGAUCAUAUUUCAUUUUGAUCUGGGUAUCGUAAAGUGUUUUUCUCAAGCGCUAUGGCUGCC